rnacentral:rRNA from 1 species
UACGUAGGGUGCGAGCGUUAAUCGGAAUUACUGGGCGUAAAGCGUGCGCAGGCGGUUCUGAAAAUCAGCUGUGAAAGCCCCGGGCUUAACCUGGGAAUUGCGGUUGAAACUACAGGGCUAGAAUCUGGCAGAGGGGGGUGGAAUUCCACGUGUAGCAGUGAAAUGCGUAGAGAUGUGGAGGAACACCGAUGGCGAAGGCAGCCCCCUGGGCUGAGAUUGACGCUCAGGCACGAAAGCGUGGGGAGCAAACAGG